CUCUCCGUGUGGUGUUGUUUUAUCUGUGUGAGGCCAUACGUCCACCACCAGAUUCUGUUUGAAGCUAAAAAUGCUGCUCACUGCAACAAGUUUGGAGAGGAGAUCCCUCCAUGGACCUGAGGAGGAAGAGGAUGUUUGUCCCUGUCUUGUUGUUUUCCGUCUCUCUUCCUUCACUGCGAUUGGUCUGUUGAGUGUGUUGUCAUGGUUACAGCAGCCAGCAGACGUGGUGCUUUCUGGGAAAUGUUUACAUGUACGCCGUCUCCUAGCUGCCAAAAAAACAAAUCAAGAAGUGAUUUUACUUUUUUAACGAUUUUAACUGGUGCUGAUCUUCAUCACCUUUAUCAACAUCAUCAUCAUCCUGGUCUCUCUGAUCACCAGCACACUUUCACACGAAUAAAUCGUUUGUGCAAUAUUUACUUUGUUUGAAUGUUUCUGUGUUUGUCAAUAAAAAUCAAUGAUCAGCUGA